CCUACGGGAGGCAGCAGUAGGGAAUCUUCCACAAUGGUCUAAAUCCUUAUUUAUCAACUCCUCUUUUUUUAAGAAUUUCUUCGGAUCGUAAAACCCUGUUGUUAGAGAAGAAAGUGCGUGAGAGUAACUGUUCACGUUUCGACGGUAUCUAACCAGAAAGCCACGGCUAACUACGUGCCAGCAGCCGCGGUAAUACGUAGGUGGCAAGCGUUAUCCGGAUUUAUUGGGCGUAAAGGGAACGCAGGCGGUCUUUUAAGUCUGAUGUGAAAGCCUUCGGCUUAACCGGAGUAGUGCAUUG
rnacentral:rRNA from 1 species